AGGUUAUUUCAAAGAACUGCAGGAGGACUUAUUGAAAAUGCUAAAGAGAAACAGUAUUUGUCACUCUGUCAGCUCGGGAGGAGACACUAGUUCCACCCUAUCUAGAGUAGAUGCGAUUCUAACUGCAAAGGAAG